rnacentral:rRNA from 1 species
UGAGUACGAGAUGCUACGGCAUCGAAGCAGUCUAUGUCAUACUUCCAAGAAAAGCUUGCACUGUCAGAAACAGAUAAUGCCUGUACCAUAACCGACACAGGUGGGUAGGUAGAGUAUACUAAGGGGCGCGAGAUAACUCUCUCUAAGGAACUCGGCAAAAUGACUCCGUAACUUCGGGAGAAGGGGUGCCUUAUUUUUAAGGUUGCAAUAACAAGAUCCAAGCAACUGUUUACCAAAAACACAGGUCUCCGCUAAGUCGUAAGACGAUGUAUGGGGGCUGACGCCUGCCCAGUGCCAGAAGGUUAAAGAAGUCGGUUAGCAUUCGCGAAGCUGGUAACUGAAGCCCUGGUGAACGGCGGCCGUAACAAUAACGGUCCUAAGGUAGCGAAAUUCCUUGUCGGGUAAGUUCCGACCCGCACGAAAGGCGUAAUGAUUUGGAUACUGUCUCGGAGAGGGGCUCGGUGAAAUAGACUUGUCUGUGAAGAUGCGGACUACCUGCACCUGGACAGAAAGACCCUAUGAAGCUUUACUGUAACUUGAAAUUGAAAUUGGACUUUAUUUGCGCAGUAUAGGUGGGAGGCGUUGAAAAUAUUCUUGCGGGAAUAUUGGAGCCAUCAGUGAGAUACCACUCUUGUAAUGUUAGAUUUCUAACUUUAUAUCAUUAUCUGGUUAAAGAACAGUUUCAGGCGGGCAGUUUGACUGGGGCGGUCGCCUCCCAAAUGGUAACGGAGGCGCACAAAGGUUUCCUCUGAACGGGUAGAAAUCGUAUCUAGAGUGUAAAGGCAUAAGGAAGCUUGACUGUGAGACCUACAAGUCGAGCAGGGACGAAAGUCGGUCUUAGUGAUCUGACGGUGCUGAGUGGAAAGGCCGUCACUCAACGGAUAAAAGUUACUCUAGGAUAACAGGCUGAUCUCCCCCAAGAGUUCACAUCGACGGGGAGGUUUGGCACCUCGAUGUCGGCUCAUCGCAUCCUGGGGCGGUAGUACGUCCCAAGGGUUGGGCUGUUCGCCCAUGAAAGCGGUACGCGAGCUGGGUUCAGAACGUCGUGAGACAGUUCGGUCCAUAUCCGGUGUAGGCGUUAGAAUAUUGAGAGGAGCCUUCUUUAGUACGAGAGGACCGAGAAGGACAUACCUCUGGUGUACCAGUUAUCGUGCCAACGGUAAACGCUGGGUAGCUAUGUAUGGAGUGGAUAACCGCUGAAAGCAUCUAAGUGGGAAGCCCACCUCAAGAUAAGUAUUCUCAUC